rnacentral:tRNA from 1 species
AAGGAAUUAGCUCAAUGGUAGAGCAAGCGUUUUAGACACAAAAAACGGCCGGUUAAGUGUUCGAUUCAUUUAUUCCUUA